AGUUUUAAUAGUUUAAUGAAAACAUUGGUCUUGUAAAUCAAAAAUAAGUCUAUUCUUUUAAAACU
rnacentral:tRNA from 1 species